rnacentral:rRNA from 1 species
UACGUAGGGGGCUAGCGUUGUCCGGAAUCAUUGGGCGUAAAGCGCGUGUAGGCGGUUUUGUAAGUCCGCUGUGAAAGUCGGGGGCUCAACCCUCGAAUGCCGGUGGAUACUGUCGGACUAGAGUACGGAAGAGGCGAGUGGAAUUCCUGGUGUAGCGGUGAAAUGCGCAGAUAUCAGGAGGAACACCAAUUGCGAAGGCAGCUCGCUGGGACGUUACUGACGCUGAGGCGCGAAAGCGUGGGGAGCAAACAGG